GGGUCCCGUUCAGUUCCGGGGUCCGGCGGCUCCGGGACAGGUUCCGCGGGCGCCGUUGGGAGGAGCCGGGCGGCCCGGGGAGUCGGCCCCGCGGCCUCCUCCUUCUGCGCCCGCGCGCCCGCCUGCCGCCCCCGUGGCCCCUGAUCUCCGACCCCCGGCCCCCGUGGCCGGGGCUCGGCCGCGCGCCUUCAGCGCUGCGCCCCAACAGGAGGAAAAGGAGCCCAUCUGGAGAGGGGGAGAGCGCUGAGCACUCGAGGCACUAAAAGAAGCCUGAAGGCCAUGGAUGCGGAGCCGACUUUCUGCCUCUGCCUUUGACCUCUUUAAGACUUCUGCAGAGGGGAAGCAAUCUCUCCCGCGACGCCCUGCCCUCUGGUGGCCGGGGAUUGUUACUGCAGCUCCAAUGGGAUUACUGCCUAUGCUCUUAAAGAAAACCUCUAAAAAUCGACUGCGCAUAUAGCCCUGCUGUUUCUAGAACGGUUUCAAAGGGGUUGUUGGAGAGGAUCUGCAUCUCCAGUCUGACUAGCUGGAGGAGUUGGGAUUUGGGGGAAGGAAGGAAAAGAGAGAGAAUCCUUGUCCUGGAGGUGGAGAGCAUGGAUCUUGAAGACUUCUUCUUCAGAUGCUGCAGCUCCGGGCGCCUUAUUCUGAAACGUCUUGAAAGCUCUCUCGACUUUCUUCAUUUAAACAACAAUUAAAUUGGAGCGCCUUCCAUGUAUGUGGUGCUAUGAUAGCUAUUAUGGGAGUCUCCCAGUGCACAUCAUCUAACUAGGGAACGAGACAUGGAUUAAAACUAAUGAAAAACUAAA